rnacentral:misc_RNA from 1 species
GUGAAUCAUCGAAUCUUUGAACGCAUAUUGCGCCCCUUGGUAUUCCGGGGGGCACACCUGUUCGAGCGCCAUUUCAACCCUCAAGCAUAGCUUGGUGUUGGGUAAGGUCCCUUUAGUGGGAUUAACCCGUAACUUGUAGGCGGUCACCGCCCGUACCCCUAGCGUAGCAAGCUUUACACGCAUUCGCUCGGGGGAUGGUUUGCAGUGUAACCCGCCAAAACAAACUUUCAAGGUUUGGCCUCGAAUCAGGUGGGGAUACCCGCUGAACUUAAGCAUAUCAAUAAGCGGAGGA